rnacentral:rRNA from 1 species
UACGAAGGGGGCUAGCGUUGUUCGGAAUUACUGGGCGUAAAGCGCACGUAGGCGGCUUGUUAAGUCGGGGGUGAAAUCCUGGAGCUCAACUCCAGAACUGCCCUUGAUACUGGCGGGCUCGAGUCCGGGAGAGGUGAGUGGAACUGCGAGUGUAGAGGUGAAAUUCGUAGAUAUUCGCAAGAACACCAGUGGCGAAGGCGGCUCACUGGCCCGGUACUGACGCUGAGGUGCGAAAGCGUGGGGAGCAAACAGG